rnacentral:tRNA from 1 species
GCCCGAGUAGCUUAGUUCGGCGGAGCGGUCGGCUGUUAACCGACAGGUCACAGGUUCAAAUCCCGUCUCGGGCG